CUACGGGAUGCACCAGUGAGGAAUAUUGCACAAUGGGGGGAACCCUGAUGCAGCAACGCCGCGUGGAGGAUGACGCAUUUCGGUGUGUAAACUCCUUUUAUAUGUCAAGAAAAUGACGGUAGCAUAUGAAUAAGCACCGGCGUAACUCCGUGCCAGCAGCCGCGGUAAUACGGAGGGUGAAGCGUUACUCGGAAUCACUGGGCGUAAAGGACGCGUAGGCGGGUUGGAAAGUCAGGUGUGAAAUCCUACAGCUUAACUGUAGAACUGCACUUGAAACUUCUAAUCUAGAGUAUGGGAGGGGGAGAUGGAAUUAGUGGUGUAGGGGUAAAAUCCGUAGAUAUCACUAGGAAUACCUAAAGCGAAGGCGAUCUCCUGGAACAUUACUGACGCUAAGGCGUGAAAGCGUGGGGAGCAAACAGGAUUAGAUACCCCCGUAGUC
rnacentral:rRNA from 1 species